GAUGAACGCUGGCGGCGUGCCUAAUACAUGCAAGUCGAGCGAACGGACGAGAAGCUUGCUUCUCUGAUGUUAGCGGCGGACGGGUGAGUAACACGUGGAUAACCUACCUAUAAGACUGGGAUAACUUCGGGAAACCGGAGCUAAUACCGGAUAAUAUUUUGAACCGCAUGGUUCAAAAGUGAAAGACGGUCUUGCUGUCACUUAUAGAUGGAUCCGCGCUGCAUUAGCUAGUUGGGAAGGUAACGGCUUACCAAGGCAACGAUGCAUAGCCGACCUGGGAGGGUGAUCGGCCACACUGGAACUGAGACACGGUCCAGACUCCUACGGGAGGCAGCAGUAGGGAAUGUUCGGCAGUGGGCGGAAGCCUGACGGAGCAACGCCGCGUGAGUGAUGAAGGUCUUCGGAUCGUAAAACUCUGUUAUUAGGGAAGAACAUAUGUGUAAGUAACUGUGCACAUCUUGACGGUACCUAAUCAGAAAGCCACGGCUAACUACGUG
rnacentral:rRNA from 1 species